UCCUCCACAACUCACAACGGUUAGCUCCUCCUAUCAUUUUCAAGAUCGUCGAUAGGGAGCUUCGCAAUAUCAUCACCUCUAGAAGGCCUAACUAGGAAGCAUUGGCGAAAGCUAAUGAUUCUUUGGAUCUGUUAAUUCUCUCAAAUCUUUCUUAUUGUAACCUUGUUUUUACUUUCUUUUGCCAAGGCUACUCUUGUCACUACAAAAAAGACGCUGGAUAACGUCGGUAUAUUAACGUCAGUUGAUAAACCGACUUAAAAUUUUCGAUUAGGAAGGAAUUUUGCGUCACUUAAGAAACCGACAUUUUGUUUUGUGUCAUUUAUCUAAAAGAUUAAAAAAAAUGAUUUCUUCCAUUAACAUAAUUUUAAUUUUAUGAGCUUUCGAUUGUUUCUCAUCUCUUCCAUUUACGAGUUCUUCGUCUAUGCUUCUCCUCGCUAUGGUAUAUGGAGCUCUGAUUUCAAUCAAUUUGGAUUCAAGCUCAGAGGCGGAGAAGUAGAUCUAAAAUUGAUGCUCUCUGUGACGGAUCAAGCAUCCUCUCAUCUCGAAUCCGCCAACUCAGAGGAACUGGCGAGAGAUUAAGUCACAGAUUGACCUGAUUCUAAGAGAAGCUUGGUUGCUCAAUUUUCACUGUCAAUAUCGAUUUAGAAAAAGGAGUUGAUUUAAGCCAAGACUGCCUCAAGUUUUUGUUUUCCACGACUUCAAUAAGUUGAGACUUGAGGAUCUUCAAGGAGCAUCGUGGACUUGUUCCAAUGUUUUAAUUUGGUUGAUUUACCCUCUAGUUUUGGCAAUGAUGUUUUUGGUUGCUCAUCAAGAAGAGCAACUACGUAUAUGUUUUGUUUUACAUGUCACAGGGGCAGAUGAGUUAUAGCAUAAGCUACAAUAGGUGUGAAUAACAAGAGAUUGUAGCUUUUUCUUUAAUCAAGAUACUAGUAUAUGGUUUUGAGAUUGUUUACAAAGUGUGAGAAGAGAUUGCAGAAUGUUAACUUAGGGCCUUAGACUGUUGGAGAAUAAGUCAAUUUUUAGUUUGGAAAAAGGUGUGGACGAUUGAUCAGGAUUGGCAACUGAUGCAAGAGGUAGAGAUGUUACAGUUGGAUUAGUACUACUUCCGGUUUCUUUUCCAAAAUAUGGUUGAUCCUGAAGAGCUGAAUUUGGAAUUAUCUUGUGCAAGAGCAGGAAGGGAGAUAUAGAGGUUAACAACAUGUUUCAUCCAGCAGCAUUUGACACUCUUCAUCUAUUGUAUCAAACGACCAUGCCAGAACAAAAGCAAAUAACCGAAGAGGAGAAUAGCGAGAUACAUGGAUAAUAAGAUGGCAUAUGUGUGUAACUGUUAAAGUGACAUUUAUAUUUUAUGUAAAACAGAUUUAUUUAAUUAAGGGAGCUUUUAUUUGAGUUCUU